UACAGAGGGUGCGAGCGUUGUUCGGAAUUACUGGGCGUAAAGCGCGCGCAGGCGGCCCUUUAAGUCCGUCGGUCAAAUGCCGGGGCUCAACCCCGAUGCAUGCCGAGGAUACUGGAGGGCUGGAGACACGUAGAGGCAAGCGGAAUUCCGGGUGUAGCGGUGGAAUGCGUAGAGAUCCGGAAGAACACCGGAGGCGAAGGCGGCUUGCUGGGCGUGAUCUGACGCUGAGGAGCGAAAGCGUGGGGAGCGAACAGG
rnacentral:rRNA from 1 species